rnacentral:lncRNA from 1 species
AAAUCGUCAUGUGCUGUGUGGUAGACAUGGCGGCACAGGUUCCAUGCAGGCAAUCCGCGUGCUAGGCUAAACGAAUGGUUUGGGGCCACUCCCGUGGGCACGAACGGCCCAGAUCAAUUCUUCGGAUAAGCCUGAUCGAACAAUCCACGUGUCUCCAAUCAAACGACCUGAAUUUAUUUUUUGAAUAAGUGAGAUCUGAUGGCUGAGAUCGAUCCACACGGGCUGAGAUGGAGGGCCCAUAUCAAGGAAAGGGGGGUAUUUAAGCAUUUCUUCAGCCAAACCCCAAAACCCUAGUAGACACACCUUGUCGGAGAAGAAGAAGAACGGCGGCUGAAAUGAGACUCAGCCAUCGAAGG